rnacentral:rRNA from 1 species
GUGAACGCUGGCGGUAGGCCUAACACAUGCAAGUCGAACGGCAGCACAGUAAGAGCUUGCUCUUACGGGUGGCGAGUGGCGGACGGGUGAGGAAUACAUCGGAAUCUACUUUUUCGUGGGGGAUAACGUAGGGAAACUUACGCUAAUACCGCAUACGACCUACGGGUGAAAGCAGGGGAUCUUCGGACCUUGCGCGAUUGAAUGAGCCGAUGUCGGAUUAGCUAGUUGGCGGGGUAAAGGCCCACCAAGGCGACGAUCCGUAGCUGGUCUGAGAGGAUGAUCAGCCACACUUGAACUGAGACACGGUCCAGACUCCUACGGGAGGCAGCAGUGGGGAAUAUUGGACAAUGGGCGCAAGCCUGAUCCAGCCAUACCGCGUGGGUGAAGAAGGCCUUCGGGUUGUAAAGCCCUUUUGUUGGGAAAGAAAAGCAGCAGGUUAAUACCCCGCUGUUCUGACGGUACCCAAAGAAUAAGCACCGGCUAACUUCGUG